UCUGUUGUGGCACCAAGGAUGUAGAACACCCGAGAUCUUCCUUUUCAUUGGGCAGUGAAAACAUUUAUUGCAGCAGGCUUUGAGGGUGGCUUUUAAUUUGAUCACAUUGUACUUUAUUGGGGCUGCAUUGAAAGGUGGGUGCAGAAAUAAAUGCUAAUUCUGCUUUUGUACAAUAGGUUAAUUUCCAAACACACACACAGAGAGACACUAUCCACCUUCAAAAGUAUCAGUAUUCAAGGACACAUUCCAGCCUGGAAAAAUGUGUGAAGCCAUUGGUGUAGAUGUAGAAAAGAUAGUAUCUUCAGUUACAGUAGAUCCACAGACAUCUGUUCCCCCCUGGAUUUUGAAAUAAGAGACAAGCACUCUUGAUAAACGACUGCCAGAACACUUUGAAACAAAGAACACCAGCCCUCGAUGCCAAAGGAAAUGAUGGAGAGAGUAAAUCAAAACAGGCACUGAGAGUCUCCGUUCUCUUAGUGUGGAGAGCUGAGGGUAAAAGCCACAAUGGAUUCCAUCUAGCCACCGUCAACAGCCUCUCCUCAAAACAUGUGCUUAGAGGAGUCUUUGUCAACCUGGCACAACUCUGAGGCUUCAGACUGCAGCUGCCGCCAGCCCCAGCCUGCACGCGACACAGCCUGAUUUACCACUCCAGGGCUCUAGCACUUUGUUUCAAUCUGUUGCAUGUGGAGUUGCAGUUUGACACUGAGCUGGUCUGAUAAUAGAAGCAGGAGACACAGUCUGCUCCGUGCUGGAUCCAAAGCUAUGACUCGGGGGCUUGCCUGGAAUCCGAAUGGAGAAACAAAAUGUUGUGGGGUUCAUGCUGUGAGCCCCCCUCCCCUGUCGUCAAGUUGUAUAAUAUAUGUGUAAAGAAAGCCAUUCAUGCGAAAGACACCACAGUCUCCUCUAACCCUCAUUCCAAGGAAACUGA